GAUGAACGCUGGCGGCGUGCCUAAUACAUGCAAGUCGAGCGAACAGACGAGGAUCUUGCUCCUCUUACGUUAGCGGCGGACGGGUGAGUAACACGUGGAUAACCUACCUAUAAGACUGGUAUAACUUCGGGAAACCUGAUCUAAUACCGGAUAAUAUAUUGAACCGCAUGGUUCAAUAGUGAAAGACGGUUUUGCUGUCACUUAUAGAUGUUUCCACGCCGCAUUAGCUAGUUGGUAAGGUAACGGCUUACCAAGGCAACGAUGCGUAGCCGACCUGAGAGGGUGAUCGGACACACUGGAACUGAGACACGGUCCAGACUCAUACGGGAGGCAGCAGUAGGGAAUAUUGCGCAAUGGGCGAAAGCCUGACGGAGCAACGCCGCGUGAGUGAAGAAGGUCUUCGGAUCGUAAAACUCUGUUAGUAGGGAAGAACAAAAGUGAAAGAAAAUAUGCACGUAUUGACGGUACCAAAACAGAAAGCAACGGCUAACUACGUG
rnacentral:rRNA from 1 species